ACGCUGGCGGCAGGCCUAACACAUGCAAGUCGAGCGGUAGCACAGGAGAGCUUGCUCUCUGGGUGACGAGCGGCGGACGGGUGAGUAAUGUCUGGGAAACUGCCUGAUGGAGGGGGAUAACUACUGGAAACGGUAGCUAAUACCGCAUGACGUCGCAAGACCAAAGUGGGGGACCUUCGGGCCUCACGCCAUCGGAUGUGCCCAGAUGGGAUUAGCUAGUAGGUGAGGUAAUGGCUCACCUAGGCGACGAUCCCUAGCUGGUCUGAGAGGAUGACCAGCCACACUGGAACUGAGACACGGUCCAGACUCCUACGGGAGGCAGCAGUGGGGAAUAUUGCACAAUGGGCGCAAGCCUGAUGCAGCCAUGCCGCGUGUGUGAAGAAGGCCUUAGGGUUGUAAAGCACUUUCAGCGAGGAGGAAGGCGUUGUGGUUAAUAGCUGCAACGAUUGACGUUACUCGCAGAAGGAGCACCGGCUAACUCCGUGCCAGCAGCCGCGGUAAUACGGAGGGUGCAAGCGUUAAUCGGAAUUACUGGGCGUAAAGCGCACGCAGGCGGUUUGUUAAGUCAGAUGUGAAAUCCCCGAGCUUAACUUGGGAACUGCAUUUGAAACUGGCAAGCUAGAGUCUUGUAGAGGGGGGUAGAAUUCCGGGUGUAGCGGUGAAAUGCGUAGAGAUCUGGAGGAAUACCGGUGGCGAAGGCGGCCCCCUGGACAAAGACUGACGCUCAGGUGCGAAAGCGUGGGGAGCAAAC
rnacentral:rRNA from 1 species